rnacentral:lncRNA from 1 species
UUGCGAGUUUUAUGAAAUUUUUGAUAGUUGAUCCAAAGCUAUCUAUCACACUGAUUUUGAUCGAGGAGAAUGAGAUCUUGGAUUUAUAUUACUCAAUGGGCUGAGCAUCUGAAAGGCCUAGAUCUCUUAAAUUUCGAGGACGAAAUUUUUUUAAGGGGGAGAGAAUGUGAGAUACGGGCUGAAGUCGGCAGCCCCAGCCGACUUCAGCCCCGUCUUCUUUUUUUUUUGGAAGGGGUCAGAGCAGGGGAUCGCAGACGCGAUCCCCUCCGGCUUCUUUGGGCGCAGCGAGG